UACGGAGGAUGCGAGCGUUAACCGGAUUUAUUGGGUUUAAAGGGUGCGUAGGCGGCCUGCCAAGUCAGCGGUAAAAUUGCGGGGCUCAACCCCGUACAGCCGUUGAAACUGCCGGGCUCGAGUGGGCGAGAAGUAUGCGGAAUGCGUGGUGUAGCGGUGAAAUGCAUAGAUAUCACGCAGAACCCCGAUUGCGAAGGCAGCAUACCGGCGCCCUACUGACGCUGAGGCACGAAAGUGCGGGGAUCAAACAGG
rnacentral:rRNA from 1 species